rnacentral:rRNA from 1 species
GGGGAUUGGAGAGCUUGCUUUCCAUGAGAGUGGCGUACGGGUGCGUAACGCGUAUGCAACCUACCUUAAUCAGGGGGAUAGCCCGAAGAAAUUCGGAUUAACACCGCAUAAAAACACAGUACCGCAUGGUACAAUGUUCAAAUAUUUAUAGGAUUAAGAUGGGCAUGCGUGACAUUAGUUUGUUGGUGAGGUAACGGCUCACCAAGACUACGAUGUCUAGGGGAUCUGAGAGGAUGACCCCCCACACUGGUACUGAGACACGGACCAGACUCCUACGGGAGGCAGCAGUAAGGAAUAUUGGUCAAUGGAGGCAACUCUGAACCAGCCAUGCCGCGUGCAGGAAGACUGCCCUAUGGGUUGUAAACUGCUUUUGUACGGGAAUAAACCUUAGUUCGUGAACUAAGCUGAAUGUACCGUAAGAAUAAGGAUCGGCUAACUCCGUGCCAGCAGCCGCGGUAAUACGGAGGAUCCAAGCGUUAUCCGGAUUUAUUGGGUUUAAAGGGAGCGUAGGCGGCUCAUUAAGUCAGGGGUGAAAACUUGCAGCUCUACUGUAAGCUUGCCUUUGAUACUGAUGAGCUUGAAUGUAGUUGAGGUGGGCGGAAUGUGACAAGUAGCGGUGAAAUGCAUAGAUAUGUCACAGAACACCAAUUGCGAAGGCAGCUCACUAAGCUAUGAUUGACGCUGAGGCUCGAAAGCGUGGGGAUCAAACAGGAUU